rnacentral:rRNA from 1 species
GCGAGCGUUAAUCGGAAUUACUGGGCGUAAAGCGCAUGCAGGUGGUUGUUAAGUCAGAUGUGAAAGACCCGGGGCGUCAACCUCGGAAUUGCAUUUGUAAACUAGGCAGACUAGAGUACUGUAGAGGGGGGUAGGAAUUUCAGGUGUAGCGGUGAAAUGCGUAGAGAUCUGAAGGAAUACCGGUGGCGAAGGCGGCCCCCUCGGACAGAUACUGACACUCAGAUGCGAAAGCGUGGGGAGCAAACAGGAUUAGAUACCCUGGUAG